rnacentral:rRNA from 1 species
AUUGAACGCUGGCGGCAGGCCUAACACAUGCAAGUCGAACGAGUGGCGGACGGGUGAGUAAUGUCUGGGAAACUGCCUGGUGGAGGGGGAUAACUACUGGAAACGGUAGCUAAUACCGCAUACCAUCGGAUGUGCCCAGAUGGGAUUAGCUGGUGGGUGGGGUAACGGCUCACCUAGGCGACGAUCCCUAGCUGGUCUGAGAGGAUGACCAGCCAGACUGGAACUGAGAAACGGUCCAGACUCCUACGGGAGGCAGCAGUGGGGACUAUUGCACAAUGGGCGCAAGCCUGAUGCAGCCAUGCCGCGUGUAUGAAGAAGGCAUUCGGGUUGUAAAGUACUUUCAGCGGGGAGGCGUUACCCGCAGAAGAAGCACCGGCUAACUCCGUGCCAGCAGCCGCGGUAAUAC